CCCCCGACCCCACCCACCGCGGGAGCAGGGUUCGGUCACUCGCAGUGUCAGAGAGGCCCACGUCCUCCUAAAUUUCCGGCCCUCCCAAAACUUCCGUCUUCCGUAGGUCCAAAGGGGUGGACCCAAGGCCCAGGGGCGUCCCCGGAAGUGACGUAGGACGCGCCCUCCAUUUUGUGGAGCGCCAGAGCUGCUAAGUGCGUCAGUUGUGGAGAGGCGUAGACGAGUUAAGUCCUGGUCUGCGUGGAGGUCGACGACUCCGUCGCAGACUACGGACCUGUCUGGGUCUCAGCCGCCAAAGACCCCGUCCGGUAGGAAGUACUAGCCGGACAUCAUGAGUGGCUGUCGGGUAUUCAUCGGGAGACUAAAUCCAGCGGCCAGGGAGAAGGACGUGGAAAGAUUCUUCAAGGGAUAUGGACGGAUAAGAGAUAUUGAUCUGAAAAGAGGCUUUGGUUUUGUGGAAUUUGAGGAUCCAAGGGAUGCAGAUGAUGCUGUGUAUGAGCUUGAUGGAAAAGAACUCUGUAGUGAAAGGGUUACUAUUGAACAUGCUAGGGCUCGGUCACGAGGUGGAAGAGGUAGAGGACGAUACUCUGACCGUUUUAGUAGUCGCAGACCUCGAAAUGAUAGACGAAAUGCUCCACCUGUAAGAACAGAAAAUCGUCUUAUAGUUGAGAAUUUAUCCUCAAGAGUCAGCUGGCAGGAUCUCAAAGAUUUCAUGAGACAAGCUGGGGAAGUAACGUUUGCGGAUGCACACCGACCUAAAUUAAAUGAAGGGGUGGUUGAGUUUGCCUCUUAUGGUGACUUAAAGAAUGCUAUUGAAAAACUUUCUGGAAAGGAAAUAAAUGGGAGAAAAAUAAAAUUAAUUGAAGGCAGCAAAAGGCACAGUAGGUCAAGAAGCAGGUCUCGAUCCCGGACCAGAAGUUCCUCUAGGUCUCGUAGCCGAUCCCGUUCCCGUAGUCGCAAAUCUUACAGCCGGUCAAGAAGCAGGAGCAGGAGCCGGAGCCGGAGCAAGUCCCGUUCUGUUAGUAGGUCUCCCGUGCCUGAGAAGAGCCAGAAACGUGGUUCUUCAAGUAGAUCUAAGUCUCCAGCAUCUGUGGAUCGCCAGAGGUCCCGGUCCCGAUCAAGGUCCAGAUCAGUUGACAGUGGCAAUUAAACUGUAAAUAACUUGCCCUGGGGGCCUUUUUUUAAAAAACAAAAACCACAAAAAUUCCCAAACCAUACUUGCUAAAAAUUCUGACAGGGUCUUGCUCUGUUGCUAGGUUGGAUGGAAUGCAGUGGUGCUAUCUCGGCUCACUGCAACCUCUGCUUCUGGGGUUCAAGUGAUUCUUCUGCCUCAGCCUCCCGAGUAGCUGGGACUACAGGUGUGUGCCACCAUGCCUGGCUAAUUUUUGUAUUUUUAGUAGAGAUGGGGUUUCACCAUUUUGGCCAGGAUGGUCUCAAUCACUUGGCCUCAUGAUCUGCCCGACUCGGCCUCCCAAAAUGCUGGGAUUACAGGUGUGAACUACUGCAUCCGGCCAUCUUUAUUCCUUUCUAAGAAUGGUUUGAGGCCAACCCUGUCUUCCUCAAAAGCUAAACAAAUGUGUUCUUACAUAACUUGUAUGUAACCAAGUCUCCUAGCAGAUGAUGUUGGUUAGAUAAUAGAGAAAACAAUUUGAACAGGUAGGUAUAUAUGGAUAUAAUAAGUAAAAAUGAUAGGUGGUAGCCUUGUCAAAAAUCUGCGUUUUUAAGAGGAUGUUAGUGACCCAAAUCUGUGUUUCUCGUUUUGGUGUUGGGAGUAUUUGUUAGUCCUGCACAUUUGCCAAACUGAUAUCCGAAAACUAUAUUGUCUUGGUUUCAUUUGUACCUGACCAUACAAAAUGAUAAAAAUCCCAAGUAACUAAUAAGCAUGAUUGACUUUUUGUAAUUGUUAAUAUUAGUUGUUAAUCAUUUACUUGAUCCUUAUUUACAUAUGAUAUGCAAAAUGUUUAAAUUUUAUUAGAGACAAUUUGAAAUUUGUGAAUUCUAGGUAUUUGAACAUUUUUCUUUGAAUUGGGAAAUGACUCAUUUUGGCAGUAGUUUGCUGUACCCAGUUUUGGGGGCGCCUUGUGUUAAAACCAAAUACCUACUGAACUUAAAAAAGAGAUUAUUAGUGAGGUAACAUUGUGUUAAUGUAUGUGUUUGUUUCCUGGUUUUUCCUUGUCAAAAGUUUUUCUCCUCUACUAACAUGCAUUCGCCCAGUUUUUUCAUUUCAUUAGCUAUUUUUUUGAGUUUAUUUUACCUGAUUGCAUCUUACUGUGUUCACUUUUGCAUACUUGAUGUCAAAUUUGACUUUUCGGGAGCAUCAUCCCAAUAAUGUCAAAAGGGAAGGAAUAGGAUCUGAACUUUUUAGGUUAGAACCUCUGAAGUUUAAUUCUACAGCACUUGUGAGCAUUUAUUUCUCUUUUGGGUCACAAAACUUGGAAUGGGAUUUGGGUAUUUGAGUAAUGGGUUAAACAUAUAUAUUGAUUAGUUCAGGAAUUGAGUGACUUUAAGAUGCUUAUCAGACACUUUUAGAGAUCCCAGCAAGAGGCAGAUUCGGUUUCUGGUUUUAUAGAGUUUACAGUCACUGAACAAGUCUUUAAAAUAAGUAGCAAAUUCUAAGUUGGGGAUAGGUGAGGCUUCUUGGGUAGACACCCUGUCUGUGUUCCCGGCCAAGACUUGAUGAUUCUGAUAGAUGUACUGGAAAUGCUGGAGAAAGACUCAGGCAAGACUGGUGUUUUUGCUGCUCUCUCUAGUUUACCACACUGGCUUUCAGAAUUGCUUUGGGACCAGAACCCAGGCCACCAGGGGAAGGGCUAGGCUGUGCAAGGGGAGCAGUCCUCCCCUUUGUAGGUGCCAUUUCCCAGAGCUCCUGGAAUUGUUUCUUCAGUUGUGGCAGCUGUGUAGGUCAUUUUUGUUUUAUCUGUAAAGUUAAAAAGGGUUAUAGGUGUAGAGAGAGAACAAGAGGAGUGAACAAUGAAGCUUGUUUAAUCUGGAAAGUACAAAAAUACCAACUCAGCCCUAGGGUGUGCUAAGUAUAUAUUUUCCAUCUCUGUCGUCUCUCCCAUGGUUUACUCUUUAAACUCACUUUCCCCUCAGUCUCCCUAAUGGUAGUACUAGUAGUAACAGUCCUAAUGAAUUAGACUAUUGUGUCUUCAUCAGCACUUCACUUCUAACUUCUUUGUUAUACAGUAAAACAACAGGAGAUGAGUUUAUGUAUGCAAGGUCUGUGUUGCAUUCAGGGAAUGAGGAGGCAGGCAGGAAAGAUCUUCGAGAAAGUCUAACCAAGAGAGUUUCCAGUUCUUCCCUCCAACCCCCAAUUGAUCUACCUCUUCUUGUCCGUGGUGUAGGCGGUGAUGCAAAUUUGAAGAUAGCUUUGAUUCCUGCACCUUCCUGUACAGAUGGAAGAGUUCUCUAUACAGAGUUGUUCUCCCAUCAGGUGCAGGAAUGAAAAGUAUAAAAACUUGACAGAUUCCUCCCCCUGAGAAUAGCUUCUUGGGGCCAUUAGGUCCAAAGAAAUACGUUGCUUUGAUUUAGUGUUUCCACUGGGGUCUUCUGAGAUACACUGUGAGGAAAGUUCUUUUCAAGUCUUGAGAGCUAAAGAUCCAUAGAGUAUUGUCCUUUGUGGUCACUUCAGGUCUUUCUGGUACUAAAACCUCAAAUCUGGGAACUUGGUUGGUCUAGAAACUUCUGUGCACUUUUUGUAAGAGGGCAGCAAAUCUCUUGCGUUCCUCUCAGAUAAGCAUCAGAGUAGAUUCUUUCUCACAACUCUACUGUAGCUUUGAACCAAAGCUUCUAAAAUGGUUCUAGCGUAUGGUCAGCCUGUACUUGUUUCGUGUUGGCUGCUUGGCAACCUAAUUACAUCUUAGCUAAUUGCAAAGGGAGAGAGAAUCGGCAUUUGCUAGUAUAAUGUAACAAAUUCCAAUAGGGAAAGUUGUGUAUUUCUCCUAGGGUGUAAAUCACAGUCCCUAGGGUCUAGAAAGGUUUUGAAGGGGACUUCAAUUCAUGGACAUGAAGGGACAGUUGAAGGAUUUGGGUAAGUACUUAGGAAGAAUAUACUAAUGUUGAGAGUUAUAAUGAAAUGUGUUAUAAAGUGGGUUUGAAUGUCCUGUUUUUUUUUUUUUUUUUUUUUUUUUUUUUAAAUUGGUGUUAAAGUGCACUUUGAGGAAGGCACUCUGUUCUCUGGUCUGUCUUGAGGUUCAAUUUUAUUUUGAAAGGUAAUACUCUGAGCAUUUUAGAGAAGAGAUGCUAUGUUAACCCCAUAGUGAUCAGAGUAAAGUAUAAAUCAUAUUAAGUUUAUUGUGGAGGUAGUUACUGUUUAACAACCUUAUGCUUAAGUUUCCUUUACAGCGUAACUAGAGUUGAGGAAUCUUUUUUUUUUUUUUCUUUAUUCUGGGUUAUAUUAGGCUGCAUUGCUUUCAUAUGUUUUUCCUCAUACGGAGGUGUCAGUGGUGCUGUGGCUCUGAUCUGGUUCCAGGAAAUGAGAACCUAGUCCUGAGAAAUGGAAACUUCCCCAACUCUUGCGAAUAGAGGCCUUUCACACAACUAAUAACCUCAGUUGUCCAAGGCAGUUUUGUCCUAUGAUGUCUCCCCACUGAGACAAAGCAGCCCAAAUUGCUUCAGUUUUAUGAGGUAAACUGCAUCUGCAAUUUCAUUCUCCCAGCUAGAAGGAAGAAAUGGAGUGCAGUUGAUGGAAGUAGCCUUGGAUCUUUAAAGCUUCUUGGGUGCUUCUUGGGGCUACCUGGUUCUUAGUGACUUGAUAAGAGUUAAAGCCCUAUCCAAAAAGUCCCUGCUAGAAACUUGCUUGUUGGCAGGCUCAGGUCUAAUAUUGGAGCAGAACUUGAAGUGGGGAUAAUUUCAGUACUCACCCUUGGGAGUCUUGAAUUUCUCAUAGCACCAAAACAUGGCAAUGAGGAGAAGCCCUUCUCCAAGCUGGAAAAUCAUGUAGAGGAGGGGAAAGAAGAAAAGUGGUCCAAUGACUUCAGGUGGAAAGGCCACAUUGAGGAUGGUGGAACAGAGUUGGACAUUUUGGCAUCCGGUCUCCAUGCUGACAGUGCGUCUGCACCUGUGCCGGUGAAGAAAACCCCACAUACACUCAGAGGGAACUGGAGGGAGCAACUUUGUCCCAGUGCUGCUACCAAAGAGUUUCGCAGCAGAUGGAAUCUAGACCGUGGACAGGGGUACUUUGCUAUUGCUGCUGGUGUUUGGAUACCUUUGGUGUCUGGAUUUUUAACCCGUUUAAUACCUUCAUUCAAUUUUUUUCAAGUCUAAAGUCUCUUGUCCAGUUAGUGCAUCUGAACAUAUUGCCAGGAAAGUGUCUUGCCCAGAUUUCAGGUUCCUAGCUUCUUAUUCGUUUCCUGAAAGACUAGGACAAGAAUGAAGCCCAUGGGACAGUGGGACCUAAAAUAAUACCUAUCUCCAGGCAUGCAGUGGCUCACACCUGUAAUCCUAGCACUUUGGAAGGCUGAGGCAGGCCGAUCACUUGAGCUCAUUAGUUCAAAACUAGCCUGGGCAACAUGGUAAAACCCUGUCUCCAGAAAAGUUAAAUCAGCUGGUCAUGGUGGCUUGUGCCUGUAGUCCCAGUUACUUGGGGGGCUGAGGCAGGAGGAUCAGUUAAACCCUGGAGGUUGAGGCUGCAGUGAGCUGAGAAUGUGCUACUCCCCUCCAGCCUGGGCAACAGAGUGAGACCCUUUCUUAAAAAAAAAAAAAAACCUACCGUCCAUUGAGGCAGAAGAGAGCAGAGAGAACAUAACCCAGUAGAAAGCCAAUAAAAGGCAUCAGAGAGGAGGUGGCAAUCAAGAGUGGUGUCAUGGCAAACAUGAUGCUCUUCCCCACAUUGAUGGCAGAGAGAACUGUGACGGCCACACUGCACAAGAGAAUGAUGAUCAUCCCUCCCUGGGAAUGAAGACAAGAAGAAAAGGCAAUUAGAAGAGUUGAGGAUAGAGAGGAACAGAGGUGGGGAAGCACAGGUAGAAAUUGGAGGUGGGAAACAUUGCAAUAAAACACUGGAAGUGGAAAGGAAUAUGAAAGACCUUUAUCUUCUUUUUGGAUUCCUUUCUUUAAAAUUUUUUAAAAUUAUUAACAUUAGAGACAGGGUCUUACUAUGUUGCCCAGGCUGGUCUUACUCCUGGACUCUUAGCGGUCCUCCUGCCUUGGCCUCCCAAAGUGCUGGGAUUACAGGUGUGAGCCACUGCACCCAGCCCAUCUUUUUAGAUUUCUUAUCAGUAGCUAGGAAGCUUGGGGACAGCUGAUUAACACUUUGAUUAUUACAAACUCAGCCAAGCACAGUUACUGCUUUUGACACAUCUCUGGAUAGCAGACUUUCAGUGAAGUGUUGUGAGGCUAUUCAGGACUCCUGCAAAAUGGAUAUUAUGAAAGUUUAAAAGUCAAGUAUUUUUGGAACUUAUAUACACAUUCCUACAAUACUGUCAUUGUUCCACAUACUUUGAAACUCAUGAGAACUUGUCAUACAUAUUUGCUUCAAAUACCUUGAUUACAGGUAGGGAUUUUAUCCAUUUUAGGAUCAAUUCUGGAAAUUGCCAAGAGUCAUUUGAAACAAAGCUGGUAAACAAGGUGGAUGAUCAAGCCCGGAAAUACGGUUUUAAACCCAAAAUGAUGUCUAAUAAUAAGGGGACAAACCUACUUUCUUGAGUGACCUGCAAAUUGAAUAUGAAGGAAGUUCCCAAAAGAACUUUCAGAAAUAUCUUGGGUGAUAACAACAUCAUUGGAAACUAUGCAGGUCUACUCUGAAUGAAAUUAUAGGGUUUUUCAUUGUGCAACAUAGGAUGCAACCUUUCAAAGUGCAUGUGCACUCCAUGCACUUUGUACUUUCCAGUGUGCAUUUUAGAGAAUUGCAUCCUCCAAAAUGAUAAACAGGUAUGUGUAAAUUUAAGACUGUCCCUUUUAUCUCCUGAGUAAAGAAAUACUUAACAAACUUUUCUCAAACUUACCAUGUUAUUUUGUAAUAGUUACAUGUGUUGGUUCAUUUUUUGGUUCAUUCACAUGUGUUGCAUUUUAUAUUUCCUAGUAACAUUUAAAAAAAAGUAGUAAAAUAUGUAUAGCAAAGUUUGCCAUUUUAAUCACUUUUGAGUGUACAGUUCAGUGGCAUUAAGUACAUUCAUAAUGUCCUAACGACAUUUUAACAUUUAUAUUGCUCAAAUUUCAGCUGCACAGCUUUGUGUUUCUAUUUUUAAUACUUGUUGCAACUGAUAUGAUCAUAUAAAACAUCACCUAUACCAAUUAGUGGUCCUAUCCCAGCAUAGGAAGGACUUUCACACAUCUCUUGCAUAACCAUGUGCUUCAAGUUUUAUUAAAAGACUUAUUAGCUAAUGAACUUCUCAGUUUACCUUUGCAUUUUUAGUUGAUUUCCCCUUUUAGAUUUCUGUCUUUCGAAUUUGUCCUUUACCCAACAGUCAAAUAAUUUUUAAUCUCUAUCAAGAGUGGAGUGGAUAAUGUAGGAGACAUUGAGUUACAGGAAUUGUCCACGAAUCCAGAAGCCCUCUUCUUCUGUAUAGGCAUUCACUCUUAUUCUCUCACUCAUGUUCUCUGACUCUUGGGGACUGCACAGUUGUGGUUAUGAGCACAGAAUUUGAUAUGAUCCAGGUGGGAAAGCUGGCUCUGCUAGUCUCCAGGUGUGUAAGCUCUGGGGAGUCACUCAACCUGAGUGAGGUUGACGGCAUAGGACCUGGCAUAUAAGAACCGCUCACUAAACUGUAACUCCUAUUAUUACUCAAGGGGGAGGAAUUAACAUUCUAGAGGUUCCUGUCACACUCACUGCUGCCAUCUCUGGAAAUUUAUCCUGUCUACAACCCCUGUCUCCUGCUGAGACAAGUGGCCCUGGGUAGUUGCUUCUCCAUAGGCUACCACAUUUUGUACCACCUGACUUCAUUACCCUGCUCACAGCUGGGAUGAGUGCUCAUUCAUGGGCAGCCAAUCCAUUGGCUUACACAUGAGAUGACAUGUCCACAGUCUACCCACAAAGGUGGCCCGCACAGGCUGGUGAGUGGUAGAAAUAAUCAGAUUCUCUCAUUUAGGAAAUUUGCAGGAUUACAGAGAGGGAAGCAAUAGCAGGGACAAGUGUCAAAACAGAGGUCUGGGAGCAAUAGCCGCAAGUUGGCAGAAGUUGUAAGACAAAGGAGAGUUAGGGGUCAGUUCAACAGUAGCAGCAGGUGUGGGAAAUGCAUGAGUAGAGUGUUGAGUCAAUGAAAUGGUAGGAUCCUUAUUAAAGAGUGGUGGAUGGCUUAUGGUGAAAGUGGCUCCUGGACCAUGUCAUUCUCAGAUUCAUCACCCUUCUAGCCACGUAGCCUUUGGAUAAACCCUUGCAUGGGUAAGUUAAAAAUUACUUGAAUUGCCUUUCAAAAUGAGCAUGCCUGAAAUUGUAUCUUGGUGUAUCUAAAUGUGACCUUCCACCAGCGAAUGCAACUGGUUGAACCCGGUGUGAGCAGAUACCUGCUGCCAGAGCUAGUUAUUGAAAGUUGGAUUAUUUUGAUUUGCAAGGUCCAAGGAGGGUUAUGUGUGCGUUAAGAGGCUAGGACAAUCAUUUGUUCUUUUUCCAGUUUGGCACUCACUAUAUUAUUUAUGGGACAGGGUGACAAAGGAUGAGCAUAGUCCUCGAAGAGCCAUAGAAGCAAGGAAACCUUAGCCUUUGCAGCUUGACCCACAUGUUAGUCUCUGCAUCCUCACAGGAGUGAUUCCAGUUUUGGAAUAUAGGAAGAUCAGUGUAGCUGUUGACUUUGUGGUUGUUUAACCCUGGAGGUUUAGCCAGGGGCAAAAUGGGUCCAGGGCAUGCCUGGGUUUUUUAGAUUACCUUUUAUGUAGUCCCUUACUACUAGUCUCUCUUUUUCCAGCCAAGGUAUUUCUUAGCCCUUUUAAUGUUCUCUGGCUUCAUUUUGACUUCAUUUCGUCUGUGGCAUUGAGUAGUGAAUGUGCAACACAACAGGAACAGACUGGUUGAAAUAAUCCUGGCUCUGCCAAGUAACUUUUCCGGGCCUCGGUUACUCUAUUUGCAAAUUGGGAAUAAGGCAGGAGACUGAACUUCAUCUUAAAGGCUUCUCCAGCUUUAAGAUCUGAGAUUCUCGGCCAGGUGUGGUGGCUCACGCCUGUAAUCCCAGCACUUUGGGAGGCCAAGGUGGGGAGAUCACAAGGUCAGGAGAUCGAGACCAUCCUGGCUAACAUGGUGAAACCCCGUCUUUACUAAAAAAUAACAAAAAAUUAUCCGGGUAUGGUGGCGGGCGCCUGUAGUCCCAGCUACUCGGGAGGCUGAGGCAGGAGAAUGGUGUGAACUCGGGAGGAGGAGCUUGCAGUGAGCCGAGCUCGCGCCACUGCACUCCAACCUGGGCGACAGAGUGAGACUCCGUCUCAAAAAAAAAAAAAAAAAGGUCUGAGAUUCUGCUUUUUGCAACCUCAGAGAAACACUUUUAAAGCUACUCUGAGGUAGAAAAGAGACAUGUUCUCACAUCAGUUGUCAUUAGCACUAUGACUUGGUAUUCUGGUUCCCAGUUUUCCCACCUAUAAAAUGGAGGAGGGCAGAGUAGCAUUAAAUGAUAGCAGUGGUCACUUCACAUUUUAAUAUUCUUUAUAUUUUAUAUGCAUUUCUUUAAGAUCGUUUAUGGGUGUAUAGGAUUUUUUAAAAAAGCAAUCUUAUGCACCCCACAAACUAUCUUAAAAAAAUGAAAUGAUGCACACAAACUUGUUUCUCUGUGUAUGUUGUUUUUCUGCUGGUGUGUGGAAGAGCAGCAGACAGGACUUGCCCUUCAUUCCUUUAUUUAUUCUCAGGCAUUAGCUAUGGGGGCACUGUGAUAGGUGCUGUGGAUUCAGUGUUAAUUAAGACAGCCUUAUGGUCUUGCUUCUUGAUAAAUGAGUGGGGAAUAAAAAUGAACAGAUGUUCUUAAUGCAGUGUAAUAAUUGCUACAGGGGUUAGCUGGAGUGUUGGGUGUUAUGGGAGUGAAUAGGACAAGCAUCUCACUCAGGCUUAGGAGGUUAAGGAAGGCUUCCUGGGGGAGGCGCUAUUUGUGUUGAGACUUAAAGGAUGAAUGGGAGUGAUCCAGUGAAAGAUGGUGAGUGGGGUGAGAAUUGGGAAGAAGAGUGUUCCAGGUGAAGAGAAGGGCACGUGCAAAGAGAAAAGAGCUGAGACUGGUGAGGUCAGUUGAAACCAAAUCAAGAAGUGCCACAUUAAGGAGUUUAAACUAUCCUAGGGGGAAGGAGUCAAUGAGAGGCUUUAAGCAGUGGAGUGACAUGAUAGAGUUUGUACUUUACAUCUUCACCCUCAGGUUAGAACUGGGUGAGGAGGUUGGGUGAGAAGGCCAUUUGAGUUGUCUAGUGAGAGGUAAGGAUGGAGAGGAAUGAAUGGAUUCCAGCAACAGAAGGUGGAAUCGACAGUCAUUGAUUAGAUGGGUGUGAGUGGUGAGGGAGAAGGGAACAUUGAGAAUGACUUCCAGUUUCUGGUUGGGGCAACUGGGCACACACACAGUGCCACCGACUGAGAUAACCACAUGGGGAGGAGAUGACUUUAACGUAUAUUGAGUUUUAAAUGUCUGAGGUAUAUUCAGAUAGAAAGACCUGGUAGAUAAUAAAUGGAUUCUGGAGUGAGGAUAGAGUUGACAUCUGAUGAUGCUGUUCUGGAAGUCUCAGUUUGCAGAAGGUAAUUGCAGACCUGAGAGGGACCAGAUCCUGCGCUGGGAGAGGUCUGGUGAGAAAGGCAGAAAGCUUGGUCUGAAUGCAGAGAAGUGCCUUUGACCAGAGGAACUCAUAAGGGAGUCUGAAGGUCAUGAGAGGUAGGAGGAAAGCAGCAGAGCUUAGAGUCACUAAAGCUGACAGAGAAGGCUUUUGAGGAGGCAGUGGUCAAUUAUGUCCAAUGCUGCUAGAAGGUCAAGGAAGGAUUGAGAAAUGUCCAUUGGAUUUGGCAAAGAAAGUGGAGCAGGUGGUCAUCAAGAUGCUGGGUGGAUGGGAGACCAAGGAGAGAAGAGAGGGAUUCAAAUAAUGGAAACGAAUUGCUGAGGGCCUGGUCACUCAUGAGAGAGCUCUGGCGGUGGCAUGGGGGAAAUGGAAGGUGUUUGAGAGGAAGCGAUUGACAGAGAGAGAGAGAGGAGUGAGGGGGACUACUCCUAAAACCUGGCUAGGAAGGAGAGCAAAGGGAGAUAUUAGGUGGAAUGGGAGGUGGAUUCCACAAAAAAUCCCAGUGAGAGACACUUUUUAUUUUGUUUUUUGAAGAUAGAAGAUAUGUGAGUUCGUAUCAAAGCUGAUUGUGAAGAACCAAUACAGAGAUAUUUUAGAAGUGAGAGAGAGGGGAGGCUGCUGGGCCAGGGGCAUAAUCAAUAAAAGGAGGUCUCUGAGUACAAAGGUAGAGAGAAUGAUUGCAAUCCAGGGCUGAGGUGGGGUGACUGGCCACAGAAAGGAGGAGGGAUGAUUCCUCCAUGUCCUCCAGCAGGCGGGAAGGGGAGCUGUGGCCAUGGCACUGGGACAGGGCAAGGGCAAAAACUACUCUUGAGACAAUGGUAGUGUGAAAAUAAAACCCCCCUGAAAACUGGACUCUUGACUUCUUUGUUCCAGGCCCAAAGCUGCUGCCAAACUUUGGGGUUCUCAGCAGCACGCCUUGCAGACCAGGCCAGAGGCAUUGAUCCAGGGGCAGAGAUGGUACAGGAUGUCAGGAGGUCAAGUCCUUCCUGAGGACCAGGAUGACCUCCUGGCCCUGGGGGAUGAAUAGUGAGCCAAGGGGGAGGCUGGCAGGGACCAAACUCCAAGGUUGAAAAUAUUGGUGGAGAGACCAUAGCUGCACUCUAGGAGUUCUGCACACAAAGCAGUGGCAUGAUGCCCUGUCUGUGACCACAGUGCUUCUCAAAACCUUUGUGGCCUUAAUUCACUCCGCUUCCCACCCCAUCCCUCUCUUGAAAUGCUGGGAAUGGGUACACUACCUGUCUCCUCUAGCUUCUUGCCACAUCAGCCAAAUUUGCCCUUAGUGCCUGCUGAACUCUAUUCAGGCUUCUCCCCAGGUUUACCUAAAUGCCUCAAGCCCUUCCUUUUUAAGAAGGCUCUUUGACCACUCCAGCCCUCACUGUUCCCAUCUCCUUGCCUUCUGCAAAUACUUGCGUGUACACUGGAAUUGGAUCUUGUUUCUCUCGUGUGUUACUUCAUUUUCUUUCUUUCUUUCUUUUUUUUUUUUUUUUUCAUUUUAGAGAUGGAGUCUUGCUCUGUGGCCCAGGCGGGAGUGCAGUGGCACGAUCUUGGCUCACUGCAACCCCUGCCCUCCCUGGUUCAAGCGAUUCUGCUGCCUCAGCCUCCUGAGUAGCUGGGAUUACAGGCACUCGCUACCAUGCCCGGCUAAUUUUUUUUUUUUUUUUUUUUUUUUUGUAUUUUUAAUGGAGACGGGGUUUCGUCAUGUUGGUCAGGCUGGUCUCAAACUUCUGACCUCAAGUGAUCCACCCACCUCAACUUCCCAAAGUGUUGGGAUUAUAAGCGUGAGCCACCACGCCAGCCUCAUGUGUUACUUCACUUUCUGCAAACAUCAAACUCUGGUGACAGUGAAUCCUUAGAGUGCAUAGCGUAAAACUUAGCAUCUAGUAGGAGCAUAUGUAUGUUUAUUAUUAAUAUAAUGAUUAUAUCUUAUAGUUGUAUAUGGUGUUUUUACUCUUUUGCCCUAAUUUGUCAAGCCCCCCAGGUUCUUACCUUGAUGACAUAGCGCAUGUAUUGUGGCCGUUUGGAUUUGAGGACGAUGCCUAUGGUGCAAGGAAUGAGAACCAGGACCAGUGAUAUCACGAUGCCUUUAUAGGGCACCUUGUCCUUCAGGUCCCCAUCAUAGAUCCCCCUGGAGUAGAUGUACAGAAGGAGAGGCAUCAUGCCAAGGGCACAGAAGGUGGAGCAGGUGGUCAUCACAAUGCUGGUGGGAGACAUGGGAAGAGGGGGGAGAGAGAGAGCCCAUAAAUACAGACUAUUUUGUUGAGUGCCUGCUAAGUGCCACUGUGCUAAGUGCUUGACAUAUGUGGCUUCAGUUCCUUUUCCCCAUAUCAUUAGGCAGUAAGUAUACUAUCUUCUUUUCACUGACAAGGAAGCUGGGGACUAGAAGAGUUGUGUCCUGCUCAAAGUCGCACAAGGUAGUAAGUGGCCAAGGCAGCAUUUGAACUUAGGGUGGUUCAACUGCUUCAAUCCCUGUGUGCUUCAUUGUGGAAGGAGCCAUUCUGAUCUCCUCCUCUGUAAUGGAACCCUUUUCGCAUUGAGCACCUCCCCCAUGCCAAGCCCAUUUUGUAGAAAGCUAACUGUGUGAUUCCAUUACUCUGGUCAUUAGCCCAUUGGACCAUGGAAUGGCACCUGACCCACAGUUACUAAAUGUCUGGUUUAGAGCCUAGGGAAUGGCUUCUUGUAGUGACUUUGUCCAACGGAGACAAUAACAAUUAGCUAUAUCAGCACAUUUUACCUCGUGGGGAGUCUGAGUGUGAGACACAGUGACAGGACACUUGGUCUUUGGGGAUGGGUGGCAUGGGAGUGAUGGUCAGGCAGAAGUCAAAAACCCUACUAGAAAAAUCAAUAAACAGAUACCAUGAUUAAAAGGACUGUAAAAGAAAUAGUGAAGCAGUAAGAAACAGAAUAAUUGAAGGGCCAUAAUGGUGGGGUAGUAGAGAAGGCAGUAAUAGAUACCCAUGUUGAGUAAGUGACAAGAUAACCUGGUCAGAUUUGCUUUGCAUCUUGGAUAGUAUUCCAGUCCCCAACUCUGGUGUUCUCAUGUUCUUUACUUUCUGGUUCCUCUUGAUAUUAUUUAAAAUAAAUUAUGACACUCAGAGCCUGAAUAAUAUGUCCUUCCAGCUCUAAUAUGUAUCCUACUUGUCCAAUUUCCUUUUCCAUUUGGAAUCUUAUAUAUGUUAGUCCCAGGACCCUGUCUAGGGAGAGGCCCUCCAGAAAGGUCAACUGAGAAGGAAGCUGAUAGGGCAUCUCCUUAGAUUUAUGGACAUUUACAUUAACAAUAUAUGGCUCUGACUUUUAUUCCAGUGGGAAGGUGGUUGGGAGGUGAGGGCUUGGCAAGAUCUUAGGAAAACCACACUCAGUGUGUCCCUCCUCCUCCCCACAGCCCUACCCUCCAUCUACACUUCUUUCAUUAUUUCUAUAAAGAUGGAAUAUGGCUUAAAUAUGCAUGAAGAGAGCAGCCUGUAUCAAAGGUUCCAGAGCGUAGCCAUCAAGAACAAUAGGUAGACAUGUCAUAAGGAUAAGAGCUGUUAGAGGUGAGAAGAGUCCCUCAAAGAAAAUUGUGAACUAGGUAAUAGGAACUCCCCCACCCCCGUGAACACUUAAAUACACACUUGAGCUUGUAAGAAAUUAACACUCAAUUUAAGUGUGGCAUAGUGGCUCAUGCCUAUAAUUCCAGCAUUUCGGGAGGCCGAGGAGGGAGGAUUGCUUGAAGCCAGGAGUUUGAGACCAGCCUGGGCAACAAAGUAAGACCCCUGUCUCUACACACAAACAAAUGAACAAACCAACCAAAAACCACACACAAAAAUUAGCCAGGUGUGGUGGUGUGCACCAGUAGUCCCAGCUACGUGGGAGGCUGAGGCAGGAGGAUGGCUUGAGCCCAGAAGGUUGAGGUUACAGUGAGCUAUGUUAGCGCCACUCCACUAAAAAAAAAGGUGCCCACGGACAAGAAACAAAUGCAAAGUAGUGGGGGAGCUCAAGCUGAAGCUUCAUAGAGGGGUUCUGGAGGGGAGUGGGGUGUUAGUCUUGGCACUGUGGAGGCUUUAAUGCCCAAGGAAGGGACCAGAAUUGAGGUAUUAGACCUGGGAUGGGAGGAGCAUUGAAACUGAGCAACCAAUAAAAGGAUCAUGGGAUGAGGGGAGGGGAACUUUCUAAUUAUAUCAUCAAAUAUGAAAUCAUGGUGGAAACAGUAUUUAGAAUAUAAAAAUAAUAAAAUACAUAUUUAAAAAACAUGGAGAGGGGACUUUGGAUUAGGCAAUGGUUUCUUAGAAUAAGACAUCUAAAGCACGAACAGCCAAAGAAAAAGGCAAAUCAGACUUUAUUAAUAUUAAAAACUUGUGAUUCAAAGGACACCAUCAAGAAAGUGAAAAGCCAACAAGAGAAUGGGAGGAAAUAUUUGCAAGUCAUAUAUCUGAUAAGGGUCUAAUAUUCAGAAUAUAUAUGAAGAACUCUUUUUUUUUUUUUUUUUUUUUUUUGAGAUGGAGUCUUGCUCUGUCGCCCAGGCUGGAGUGCAGUGGCGCAGUCUCGGCUCACUGCAAGCUCCGCCUCCUGGGUUCACGCUAUUCUUCUGUCUCAGCCUCCCGAGUAGCUGGGACUACAGGCGCCCGCUACCACGCCCGGCUAAUUUUUUUUGUAUUUUUAGUAGAGAUGGGGUUUCACCGUGUUAGCCAGGAUAGUCUCGAUCUCCUGACCUCGUGAUCCACCCGCCUGGGCCUCCCAAAGUGCUGGGAUUACAGGCGUGAGCCACCGCGCCCGGCCAAUAUAUGAAGAACUCUUAUAAUGCAAUAAUAAAAAACAAGUAAAAAAUGGGCCAAGGAUUUGAAUGAGAUAUUUUCCCAAAGAAGAUAUACAAAUGGCUAAUGAGCACAUGAAAAGAUGCUCAACUUCAUUACUUAUUAGGAAAAUGCAAAUCAAAACCACUUUGAGAUACCACUUUAUAUCUACUAACAUGGCUAUAAUUAAAAAGAUGGACAAUAACAAGUGUUGGAGGGUAUAUGGAAAAUUAGGAAUCCUCAUACACUGGUGGUGGGAAGUAAAAUGGUGCUUUGGAAAAUAGUUUGGCAGUUUCUAAAAAAUUUAAACACAGAGUCACCAUAUAACCCAGCAAUUCUACUCUUAGGUAUAUAUCCCAAGGGAACAGAAAGCAUGUUCACACAAAAACUUGCCUGUGAGCUUCCGUAGACAUUAUUCAUACUAGGGAACAAGUAGAAACAACCCAUAUGUCCAUCAGCUGAAUGAAUGGAUGAGCAAAAUGUAUUAUAUCCAUACAAUGGGAUAUUAUUCAAUUACAAAAACAAAUGAAGUAUUGUGACAUGCUAUCACAUGAAUGAACCUUGAAAAUAUGCUAAGUGAAAGAAGUAUAGAUACAAAAGGUCACAUAUUGAAUGCUUCCAUUUAUGUGAAAUCCAUAGAGACAGUAGAUUAGUGGUUGUCAAGGGUUGGAGCGGGAGAGAGAAAUGGGGACUCCUGCUAAAUGGGAUGGAGUUCCUUUUUGGGGUAUUGAAAAUGUUCUGAAAUUAGAUAAUGGUGAUAGGUUCACAGGCUUGGAAAUAUGCUAAAAACCAAGGCAUCAUACAAUUUAAAGAAUGGAUUUUAUGGUAUGUGAAUUAUAUCUCAAUAAAUAGUAAUUAAAAACCAUGCAGGGAGCAAAUAAAGCAAUUAUUAAAGGGCAAUUUAUAGCCUAACAUUUAUAUUGAAAAAGAAGAAAGAUUAAAAAUUAAUGAGUUAAGCACCUUACUCAAGAGGUUAGAAUGAGCAAAACCCAAUAAAAAGAAAAGGAAGAAAUUGUUUAAGUUUUGUAAAUUGUUAGAAUCAGUAAAACCAAAAAUAGGGUUUUUUUUUUUGUUUUUCUUUUUUUUUUAAAGGCCAAUUAAAUAGGCACCUCUGGCAAGACAGACCAGGGAAAAGAGAGAUGGCACAAAUUGAUGAGGUUAGUGUGAAAAAGGGAACAUAACUACAGAGAAAAUGAAGAUUUUAAAAAGUCAUAAAAUAAACUAAGGACAUUUUCAUACUUUCAUUUUUAACUUAAAUGGACAAUUUCAUGGGAAAUAUAACCUACAAAACCAAGUCAAUAUGAAGCCGAAAACCUGAUUCAACUUAGAAUCAUUUAAGACAUUUAAUAAGCAGUUCAAAACCUAUCUUCUAGAACCCCACAUGAUUUGUACUGUCUUACGGUAGUGUUCUACUAAACAUGCAAAGUGCAGAUUGUUGCAAUAUUAUGCAAAUCUGUCCAGAUAAUAUAAAAAGGGGAAACAUGCCCUAAUUUAUUGUAUAAGGUUAAUAUGAUCUUGGAACAAAAGCUGGAGAAUGAUAUUAUGAGAAAAGAAAAUUGGGGACCACUCUUAUUUAUGAACAUAGAAACAAAUAAUAAAAUAUUAGCAAAUAAGUGUUUUAAAAAAAUACAAUGAACAAGAUGAGUAAGAAUGAUUUAAUAUUAGAUUAUUAAUACAUAUUACUAUAUUAUUAAAGAAAUGGUAUAAUUUUGUAGCUAUAGAAAAGUCAUUCAACAAAAUUUAAUGUUCUUACAUAAUAAAAAUUUAGUACACUAGCAACGGAAUGAAAAUUCCUUAACUUGAAAGGAAAUCUAUUAGAAAAAGUAUAUUAAACGUUAAACUUAAUGGUAAAUAGUUAGAGGGAUUUUCUUUAACAAGAGGAAUAAAGCAAAGAUAGUCAUUAUUAUUACCUGUUUUAUAAAUUAUACUAUAUAUAGGCCCUAGUAAGCACAGCAAAACAAGAAAUAGAAAAAGUAUAGGGAUGGGAAAAGAAGAAAUGAAACUUUCUUGUUUUGCCAAUGAUAGGAUUGUCCACAGAAGAAAUCUAAGUAAUUUUCCAUUAUAACUGAUAAGUAAGAAAAUGUAUGAGGUUCUAAAUACAUUAGCAUCAGUCAAUCAAUUGGGUCUGAUAUACUAGAAACAAAUAUAUAUAUAUUUUAAAAGACACCAUUUAUGAUAUUCACAAAACUAGAAAAUACUUAUACAUCUAAAAGACAUGUAAGAUCUUUAUGAAAGAAAUUACAAACCUUUAUAGAAAGGUAUUAAAAAAGGCCUAAGUAAAAGAAAAGCUAUAUCAUAUUUAUAGAUGGGAAGAUUCAAUAUUAUAAAGAUAGUCUCUCAAUUUAUAUAUAAAUGUAAUGCACAUUUAAUAAAACUUCCAGACUUAUAAUUUUUUUUGUAGACUUGAAAGCUGAUACUGAAACUCAAGUGAAAGAGUAAAAGGCUAAGAAUAGCUAACAUGAUUUUUUUUUUUUUUUGAGACAGAGUCUCGCUCUGUCACCCAGGUUGGAGUGCAGUGGUGUGAUCUUGGCUCACUGCAAGCUCUGCCUCCCGGGUUCACGCCAUUCUCCUGCCUCAGCCUCUCAAGUAGCUGGGACUACAGGCGCCCGCCACCACGCCCAGCUAAUUUUUUGUAUUUUUAGGAGAGACGGGGUUUCACCAUGUUAGCCAGGAUGGUUUCGAUCUCCUGACCUCGUGAUCGGCCCGCCUUGGCCUCCCAAAGUGCUGGGAUUACAGGCGUGAGCCACUGUGCCCGGCCCAUGAUUUUCAAGAACAAAGUAGGGGGACUUAACUUUCAGAUAACAAAACUUAUAAAAUUGUAAUUAAGAAAGUGUGGAACUGGUACAAGGGUAGCCACAUAGACCCGUAGAAGAGAAGAGAGAUCCAGACACAAGCCCUGCAUUUAUGAGAGAGAUGUCAUUACAAAUACCUGGAGAAAAAUUCACUCAACGUGGCUUGGAAUCUUCUAUUUGUAUGGAAAAGAUAAAAUUAGUUCAUGCCAUACAUAAAAAGAAGUUCUACAUUGAUUGGAGCUCUCCAUGUGAAAAUCAAACAUUUAAAACUUUUCAAAGAAAAUACAGGGUAAUAUCUUUGUAACUUUGUAGACAGUAAAAUUUUUUUUUUUUUUUUUUUGAGACAGGGUGUUGCUCUGUCACCCAGGCUGGAGUGCAGUGGCAUGAUUUUGGCUCACUGCAACCUCUGCCUCCUGGGUUCAAGUGAUUCUCAUGCCUCGGCCUCCUGAGUAGCUGGGAUUACAGGUGCACAUCACCAUGCCCAGCUAAUUUUUUUGUAUUUUUUAGUAGAGACGGGCUUUUGCCAUGUUGGACAGGCUUGUAGAUAGUAAAAGAUUUCUUAAAGAAACCCCUAAAAAACAUAAACCACAAAGGAAAAAUAUUGGCAAAUUUGACUAAAUUAACAUAAGCAAUCUAUAAGACAUUAUUAUCAAAGUGUAAAGACCAGCUCCAAACUGUGAAUAGACUGUUGCAACAUAUAUAAAACAAUAACUUUACAAAUUAAUUUUCAAAACCCACCCAAACCACAAUCCCAUAGAAAAACAGGCAAAGGACCCAAUGUUUCCAGAAGAGGACACAUGAAUGGCCAACGCACACGUGGAAAUGUGGUAGGCCUCCCAUGAAAUCAAAUUUAAAACUACUGUGAUCUGCUUCACUGUUUUCAUUUGGAAAAAAUUAAAAAGUCUGACAAUUCCAAAUAUAGAUGAAGGCACAGAGAAACAGGGAUCUUCAGACACUGCUAGGGAACGUGUGAAGUGAACAAUGACCUUGGAGACCUCUUAAAGAUGUGUGACUCCCACGACCCAGCAGUCCUGCUUCAAUUGCAUAUGCCCUCAUAUGUGGGCAGAGGGACACACACAAGUCUGUUCACAGAAGCGAGACGUAAAAUCCACAUGAAUCUGACAACAGGAGAAUGGAUAAAUGCAAGCAAACUGCACAGCAGUUCAGAUACAUGAGGUAGCUAUUUUCUUUACAUGCCUAUUUCUCAAAAAAAAAAAAAAAAAAGCAAGCUGUUAGGUGAUGUGGACAGUAUAAUACUGUUCGUACAAAAUUAAAAGACGUAAAUCCCGCAGUCUAUCUUGUUUAUGAAUAUAUACAUAUAUAAUAGUUGAAAAGGGUCGGUGGAAAUGCCGAACACCAAAUUCCCAGGGAUGCUCCCUUUGGCAAGUGGUAGAGGGUAAUGAGAUUGGGAAUAGGAAUACAGGGGGUUUCAAUGCUACUGUUGAUCUUCUCUUAGGGAAAAGCCAAACACAACUUGUGUGUUUGUUCUGGUGUCCUAGAGCAGAGGAAUCAUGCUUACUUUGGCUUGUGUGUCAGGAGUUUUGGAGUUUGGACUUGGUGUGCCUUGUCAGCUUGGGUAUGCAGGAGCCAUGUUCCCUGAUCCCCAGGUACUUCCUCCACUUGCACAGGUGCUGGGGUCAGGUCAGGGACGUCCAUCUCCUAGCCUGCUGGCAUCCGUGACUGUUGUGAUCCUUGGUUUACCCCAAGGGACAGGGACGGGCAAGGACUUUUUCAGACUCUAGAUUCCUGAGAUUGUAGGCCUGGUUGCCUUUCAGGGGGAAAGGGGCACAUUUGUUUUUUUUAUUUUUCCCUCCUGCUUAAGUUCCAAGAGCACAGCAUAGACCUUGCUUUUGGAUAUCUGUGUACCCCAUUUAAGGGACUCGUUCGAGCGUCCGUCAAUGCACAGAUUGGAGGCAGAAGCUGAGGGAGCUGUGAGGAGCCUCAACACAGUCUCUAUGAAGUGGAAAACUUCUGGGACCCCAGUGGCUUCCAUCUUGUCCUGGUUGAGCUUCCUACAUCAUGGCUGGGAGACCUGUGGAAGUGCUUGGGUUGUGUCCAAGCCCAUUGUCCCCAUGGCCAUUGGCUCUGGGCUCUGCUGUGAGUCCGAUGGUGGCAGGGGGAGCAGAUGAACUUGGGGCAGCAAGGAUGGUCAAAAGAGGCCAGUUCCUGCUGGCAUAGCACUCUCUUCUCUGUGCCUGACAAGCCAUACUCACUUCAACUGUGAGGGCGUUUUCUCUUGCCUGUUUGUCACCUACAUUUUUUGAAACUUGUCUAGUGGCCUUCCUUGAGGAGGGAGCUGCCGUCCCUGGCUGCAUUGAGGGGUCUGCUUGGUGGCCUGGCCUCCUGGGAUGGCAGGCUGUCCCCAGACUGACUCCACCUAUGAGGCAGAGUGAGUGGAGGGAGACACAGUUUCCCACAAACUCUGGGAAACCUCUGGCAAGUCUCUGACCUCAGCCUCUUCAUGUGUAAAAUGGGAUCUGUGUCUUACAAUUCCUUCCAGUUCUAAAUGGGAUGUAGAGUAUUGUGCUUAUCUCAAACUGGGGCCUUUGGGCUACAGCUGGCCCUUUGACAUGUAUUGUUUGGUUUGCACAUUUAAAAAAAUGGAAUGAGUUGCUGAUUUCACAUAAAAUGGAUAUUUUACCUUCUUUUGAAAAGUGGGAAGCUCUGGCUCCCACACAAUACUUGCUGCUGAGACACGGGUGUCUGCCCAUGCCUUUGAGGCUGUCUGGCCAUUUUGUUUGUGGAAAUGCUGACCUGGAAGAUAUUUCAGUAAAAGCACAGGUUCUGGAGCCACCCAGACCUGGAGCCAAUGUAUUGACCUCUCUAAGAUUCAGUUUCCUUACCUCUAAAUGCUACUUGUUACAUGCUGUCCCCCAGGGUGCUGUAGGAGGAUCACAUAUACUUAUCUAGGUAAGGUGUUUAGCACUGUGCCUGGCUGUUUCUUAUAAUCAUUGUCAUUAUUAUAAUGCAUGUAACAAGUUGUCCCAAAUUGGAAUGGGAUUUGAAGUCUGGCAGCACAUGAAGGUAGAUGACCAGAUUCCCAUUCCGACAGUGGGAUCUGAGACAUGGUUUAAUGUGCAUGGGAGGGUUGUUUGUUGGGAAGGAGUUUUAUGGCAGAAGGUGGCUGUCCCAGCAGAGCUUAUCUCUUGUGGGGGUCUAGGUAAAAAUGACAGUCAUCAGGGGUCUGGACAAGGAGGUUGAGCAGGAGAGCAUGAGGGGUCAUGUUCUUGAGUCACCAGAGGCUCUGCCUGGGUGGGGCCUAGAGCCACAGCAAUGUAGGCAUUGUGGCAGAGGCCUGAAUAGUGGCCACUGGCGAUGGGGCUGGGACAUCUGGCCACUCACACUUAAAAGCACAGUUGCCUUCCACGUCCCCUGCUCUGCUUCUUCCACAGAAACACAAAGCCCUCAGAGUACCCCUUCGCAGGCCCCUGACUUCCUGCAUCCCUCAUACACCAAAAUUCAGAUAUACUCUAGGAUUCUUGGGACACACAGGCUGCCAUGAGCCUUGUCCAGAAGCCAGAUCCAAGACCAAGGGCUUGCUUUGUAGCAGAGAGGAUGUGGAUUAGACAGAGGAAAGCAUUUUCUCACAGUGAGGUAGUUGAACAUUGAAAUACCUUUCCGUGGGUGAUGGCACAAGCCAAAUGCCCUCUUUGUGCCUCUCUUCCCAUUGACUACUAAAGUGAGGGCUGAAUCAUAUGGAAAAAGAGCCCAGAGCUUCUCAGAUGGCAGAUCCUGUUAAACCUCAACUCUCAUUCACUCUCACUUUUUUAUUUCCUUUUUUUUUUUUUUUGAGAGAGAGACAGGGUCUCACUCUGUUGCCCAGGCUGGAGUGCAGUGGUGUGAUCAUGACUCACUGUAGCCUUGAACUCGUAGGCUCAAAGAUCCUCUCAUCUCAGCCUCCCAAGUAGCUAGGACUACAGGCAUGUGCCACUAUGCCUGGCUAAUUAAAUAUAUAUGUAUAUAUUUGUAGACACAGGGUUUUGCUAUGUUGCCCAGGUUGGUCUUAAACUGCUGGUCUCAAGUGAUCUUCCUGCCUUGGCCUCCCAAAGUGCUGGGAUUAUAGGUGUGAGCCACCGUGCCCAGCCAUUCUCACUUUUUUCAUUUAAAAAAUCUGUCCCAGUGUCAUUUUGCAUCACUAGGAGGGGCUUCUUGACUUGGUUAGUUUUCCUAGGAAAGUUUGGCUAGGAGUAGGGUGCUGACAGACACAAGCAGGUGGACUUUCUGGAUUCUGCUGUUAUACCUGGCAUUGAAUAGCGUCUCCACGGAGGACUAAACCAGGGGGGACUGGCUUGAGACUGAGGUUUCACUGAAAGCAAGAGCUUCUGCUAGUGAGUUUUCUUUAGCUUCAGCACAGGCUGCUGGAGCUGGAGCAGGUCUGAAGUAGCUCCUCUGGCAGAUGUUCAAGACUAGAGUCUCCCCAGUUUGGAAGGAUGAGCAUCAACCAGCCCCUGUGUGCUGCGUCUCCAGGAGCGAGCCCUUGCUGAUUUCUGCUUAUAAUGCUUUGGGCAGCGGGUUAGGGGGUGCUGCUGUCUUCCCCUUAUCAGGGUGGCUGAGAUGGGGCUGGCGUAUCUGGAGUGGGUGCUGGGAAACUCUAGGAUCUCCCUGGUUGUGCCUUUGCAUGGAAAUGUCAUUGCAUCUGAUGGGGAAUGAGGGACUUUAAAGAGAAAACAUCUUAGAUGACCAGGUAAUUGGGAGGACCUUUUGGAAAUUCUUGCCCGCUUUGCAGGAAUUUGAGGUGCUCAUUUGGUUCCAAGUCACCUUGAUCUCCCUGAUGAUGUUUGGAACGAAUCACACUACCUUUUAAAUCUCUGGGCUCAAAGCAGGCAACUUGUCCACUGUUGUAGGUGGAUGCAGUUCUCCAGAGGUUCCUUUGGCUUUAAUCAGUGCUCCUUUAAGACAAUCCUUGAGACACCUCUGGAAGCAAGGAGAUCACCACGAGCUUCCUGGACCAGUAUGGUCCCUUUGGCUUGGUGCCUAAACCAGACGUACCCCAACUCCUGCCGCCAUCCCAGCAUAAGCUCUUGGCAAUAAAUGCCAGACUUCCCCUGCCCUAGCCUCCACCCAGCCUGCAUUCACUCCUUUUCCUGGCUUUAGCCCAGCUCUUCCCCUCAAUUGUGACAUCUCUAAUGUAGCUCCUGUCCCAGGCUGUUCCCUCCUCACCCCCAGGCCUACCUGAGGUUCAUGUCCCCCUUCAUGGCCAGACUGAAGACAUUGGACAGGUUCCCUCCAGGCGAGCAGCCACAGACCAAGAUGGCCAGUGCCUCAAUGUUCUUCAGCCGGAAGACCUUGCCCAGCACAAAGGCCGUGAGGGGCAUGAUGCCAUACUGUGCCACCAGGGCGAUGGCCAGCCCUUUAGGCUUCCAUAAGUGAGCCUUGAUCUUGCUGAACUCCAUGGUGCAGCCCAGCGAGAGCAUGAUGAAGAACAACAUGAACACCAGGAUGACGCUCAGUGCCAGGUCUGUGGGGCGCUUGCCAAAGUUGGGUGGCAGGGUGAAGUUGAAUGGGGCAGACACGUUGUGGGCCUCCAUCCUCCUGUGAGGCAGUGGAAGACCACUCCUUGUUCUCCGGCUGACUCCGUUUCUUGUGCAGUUCUUGCUGGAUGCCUUCUUUAAUCACCUCUCAGGACAGAGAGUUUCUGGACAAAAGCUCUGGGCAAAUAGAAGGGUUAUGCAACUAUCUGAGCUAUUUCUCUGGCUGUCGCCCCAAAGAGGAACAGCCCAGAACCUUAUCUGCCUGCCCUAGCUCUCCCAAGCUCCCUGACCUCUGCUGGAUUCCUGGGUGCUACUUGUACUCCUCCCCUGUCACUUUGCUGCUUCUGGGCUUAUUUCUCCCCUUUGCCCUCCACUGAGUGUGCCUCAUGGGCAUUCAUUCAGUUACUGGGGACCGGCCCAGGGCCCACCUGAAUCUAGGUCCAGCCCAUCUCCUUCCCUGCAGCUCCUUUUCCCAGCUCCGCUCUUGAUUCCUUAGUUUCUUGGUUGGGGGAAGGUGACCUCCCCAUGUCCAGUGGGUUAUCAUUUGUCCCCAGAACCCAUGAGAGUGAAAGGAGCUGGGUGUUGCCUUUGGUUCCUAGAUACAGGUAGCAUAGUCCAAGGGGGUGUGGGACAGCCAAUGUCACUGGCCUCCAGGAGGGGAUGUGUCCAUGACCCUUUUCCUGGGAGCUGAGAGGAUGCCAGUAUCCUCCCUGCCUGUUCUGGUGAAAUGUUUGUUUUAUCCCCAAACUGGGACUGUAUGAGUCCCAGGGAGGAAUACUGGUGGUGGCUGCUCCACACUACCUGGAAUGCUUACCAUCAGAGGGAAUAACCAGCUGGGAGGGUGGGUGGCCUCUCAGGAAGCUUGGAGGCUCUUUCCCCGAAAAGCAACCUGAGAGAACCCCGGCUGUGGAGAUUGCUUUGUGCCCGAGGAGGCCCAUUGCUUGCGAAACUUGCUGAGAAGGAAGCAGGAAUGCAGUCUUUUCUUCCUGACUUCCUGAUUGCUUUACUUUUGCACUGGGCCUGUGUGUUUCAGGCUGGGAGCCAGGCUUGGGGCGUGGAGCAGAAGCAGAGAGAGGUGGGCAUGCCAGGGGCGGGGCCACCUAGUGUGUGAGGUUAUCCUAAGCCUUGCUCUUUCCAUCUAUCCCCACUGCAGAGGUGGGACAAGGGAGGAGGGGUCUCCUUCAGAAACACAAUUGCUUCUUGGCUUGGUUGGAACCUAGGAGGCCUGGGUGGGGUCUGAAACAGGUGAUUAGGCUUUGUAUGUAGGACUCCAGAGGGCAGAAUAGGGACCAGGGUGUGAACCACUGUUGGGUGGAGGUGGGGACAGAUUUUGGCUUGGUGCAAGGAACUACCUGAAAAUGAGAGCUCUCCAAGAAUGGCCUUGAGGCCUCUGGAAUCCUGCUUGGGUAAGGGUUGGAUGGCAGGAUCCAUACAUAUUGCAUCAUAUCCAUGAAAAGGCUGCUCCCUGGGCUUGCGCGGUGGGCAGCCUGCGGGGCCGUAUACUGUGGCCCUGGCUGACAUGAACUUGAAGCCUCUUUUCCUUUGAGAGUCUCUGCUAAUGAUUUCCUGGUGCUUGAGUUGGGCUGGUAUCAAAGGGAGGGCAGGCAGAGGACUGGGCACUGGAUGUGAUGCCUGGACUGAGCGUUCCCACAGGGUAGGGUUGAGUCUCAGAGGAGGCUGCUUCCUCUCCCUGGGGCUAAUCAGAAGGGAACAGAGUUGCUAGGGGAGAAUUAUUGAUCACUAACUGAGUACCAGGCACCAUGGGAGGCAAAAAAUAAAAUAAAAUAAAAUAAAAAAAAACUAUAUAAUUCAUGUUCCUGUUCUCAGGGACCUGAUGGUCUGUAGAAGACCACAGGUGGCCAGAUGGUACACAAUGCAAUAUGGAAGCACGUGAGGGUGGAGGCCAUGCAGUGCUGCCAGGUACACCUGUUCAGGUUGGGCACUACACAAUGCUAGGGACGCCACUCUACAGAUGUCUUGUGCAACCGUACAUGAGGCCUUGAAGUCAAAGGAAGACGUUAGGUUUUUACACAUUUGCCUGAUGCCAAAGGGUGAGGAGGAAUUGACCAAUAUCUGUUAAAGAUCAGGGUCUGGGCAUGUGUCUAUUGAUCUGAUUGUGCACAUCCAAAGAGAAGAGUUCCUAUGAACACAUUUGUAACCUGGAUUCUAAACCACGUAGUCUCUAUCAACUCUUCCUCCUCACCUCUUCUCAGGAACCCAAAAUCCUUCCACCUCCUACUGUGAGUUUUUCCCUUUGAGAAAACACAGUUUCUUGCCCUGGCUGCCCCUCCUCCCACUCCUUCCCAUUCCCUCUGUUCCUAGCAAUGUGACUUUGCAGAGAAUGGAAAAAUCUCUUCCAGGAACCUGACACCCUCCAUUCUUUUCCCCAUAUCCCCUCAGAAUCUACUCUAAUUUAAUACAAUUUUGGAGACAGGAAGAUCUUUUUGUGUUAUGUUAAUGAUACCUGAGAGUUGUUGAGCACAUGCUGUGUGAUGGAUGCUGUGAUUUAAAUUACAUUUCUUUUUAACUUUUAUUUUAGAUUUAGGGGUACAUGUACAGGUUUGUUGUUACAGACAAACUUGUGUUAUGGGGGUUUGGUGCAUGGACCACUUUGUCACCCAGGUACUAAACAUAGUACCUGAUAGUUCUGAUAGUUAUUUUUCCUGAUUCUCUCCCUUCUUCCACCCUCCUCCCUCAAGUAGGCCCCAGUGUCUGUUGUUCCCUUCUUCGUGCCCAUUAGUUCUCAUUAUUUAACUCCCACUUAUCGGUGGGAACAUGCAGUAUUUGGUUUUCUGUUCCUGCAUUAGUUUGCUAAGAAUAUUGGCCUCCAGCUCCAUCUGUGUUCCUGCAGAGAACAUGAUCUCAUUCUUUUUUACGGCUGUAUAGAUUCCAUGAUGUAUAUGUACCACAUUUUCUUUAUCCAGCCUACUGUUGAUGGGCAUUUAGGUUGAUUCUAUGUCUUUGCUAUUGUGAAUAGUGCUGCAAUGAACACACGUGUGCAUGUGUCUUUAUGGUAGAAUGACUUAUAUUCCUUUGGGUAUAUACCCAGUAAUGAGAUUGCUGAGUUGAAUAGUAGUUCUGUUUUUAGUUCUUUGAAAAAUUGCCACACUAUUUUCCACAAUGGUUUAACUAAUUUACCCUCUCACCAGCAGUGUAUAAGUGUUCCCUUUACCUUGAAUGUAAAUGGGCUAAAUGCCCCAAAUAAAAGGCACAGAGUGGCAAGCUGGAUAAAGAAGCAAGGCCGAACAGCAUGCUGUCUUCAAGAGACCCAUUUAACAUGCAAUGACACCCAUAGGCUUAAAAUAAAGGGAUGGAGAAAAAUCUACCAAGCAAAUGGAAAUCAGAAAAAAGCAGGGGUUGCAAUCCUAAUUUUAGACGAAGCAGACUAUAAGCCAACAAAGAUGAAAAAAGACAAAGAAGGGCAUUACAUCAUGGUGAAGGGUUCAAAUCAACAAAAAGGCCUAACUGUCCUAAAUAUAGAUGCACCAAACACAGGAGUACCCAGAUUCAUGAAGCAAGUUCUUUUUAAAAAAUAAAUAAUUGAAAUUUAUUUUUUAUAAUUCUGGAGGCUGGAAAGUCUAAGAUCAAGGUGCUGGCAGAUUCAGUAUCUGAUGAGGGCUGCUCUCUGCAGAUAAUGCCUUGUUGCUGCAUCCUCCAGAGGGGGUGAAUGCAUAAAGCAAGUUCUGAGAGACCCAUGAAGAGACUUAGACUCCCACACAAUAACAGAGGGAGACUUCAACACCCCACUGACAGUAUUAGACAGAUCAUCAAGGCAAGAUGAAUCAUCAAAGCAAAGAUACUCAGGACCUGAACUCAACACUUGACUGAAUGGACCUAGUAGACAUCUAUAGAACUCUCCACCCCAAAACAACAGAAUAUACAUUCUUCUCAUUGCCACAUGGCACAUUCACUAAAAUCAACCAAAGAAUUGGACAUAAAGCAAUUCAUAGCCAAUGCAAAAAACAAAAAUAAAAUUAUACCAAUCACACCCUUGGACAACAAAGCAAUAAAAAUAGAAUUGAGUACAAAGAAAAUUGCUCAAAACCAUACAUUUACACGGAAAUUAAACAGUCUCCUCCUGAAUGACUUUUGGGCAAAUAAAUUAAGGGAGAAAUCAAUAAGUUAUUUGAAACUAAUGAGAACAAAGAUACAGCAUACCAGAAUCUCUGGGAUACAGCUAAGGCAGUGUUAAGAGGGAAAUGUAUAGCACUAAAUGCCCACGUUUUUAUUUAGUCUUCGCAAUAGCCUUAUGAGAUAAGAUGCUAUUGCUAUCCUUAUUUUAUAGGUUAGGAAAAGGCUUAGAGUGGUUAAAUAAUCUGCCCAAUUUGCAUGGCUAGUGAGUGGUACAAUUGGUAUUCAUGCCCAGCCUGGUUCCGGGCCCCAGCUGCUCUUCUGACCUGCUCCUUCUUUUGCCUCAUCCUGUCUCCCGAGUUAACCUGCUUUUUGAGACCUGAAAGCUUUGACUGGAAAAGAUCCUGUGAUUGCAUAUUUUUUCCAAACUGGCCUAGACUUGUUCUUUCACAGGCUGGAUGUAGCAAGCAACACAACAAACACAACACCCAAACAAUCAUGGGGGGGUAGUGGUGGCUGUGUAAAUUUUACUUAAGGGACAUUUUAAUUUCAUCUCUGGCAAAAGUCAGCUAUUUUCCCAGAUUCUGAAGUGGCAUAAAAAGCCUUCAGUCAGCCAUUGCUCUUGACAGCAGAAUUCUACUUGUAGAAAAUUAUCCUAUAGAGAUAAUUGCUUGAGGAUCUACGUAAAGAGAUUUUCACUGCAGCAUUGCUUUGUAAUAGUGAACUAUUGGAAAUAACCUAAAUAUCUAUUAGUAGGUGAUUGGUUAUGGCCCAUUUAAAAGAAUGUAGCCAUUAAAAAAUAUGGUAGUGACUUAUGGUAUAAAUGUGGCUGUAGAGGCUGGACAUGGUGGCUCAUGCCUGUAAUCCCAGCACUUUGGGAGGCUGAGGCAGGAGGAUUGCUUGAGUCCAGGAGUUCCAGACCAGCCUGGGCAACAUAAUAAGACCUAGUCUCUACACAGAAUAAAAAAUUAGCGAGGUGUGGUGGCAGGCACCUAUAUCCCCAGCUACUUAAAAGGCUGAGGCAAGAGGAUCGCUUGAGCCCAGGAGUUUGAGAGGUCAGGGCUGCAGUGAGCUAUGAUUGCGCACUGCACUCUAGGCUGGGCGACAGAGUGAACCUUGAGGCUAAAAAGAAAAAGAAAAAAGGGGCUGGAUGGCUGGGCUCGGGCUCAUGCCUGUAAUUCCAGCAUUUUGAGAGGCUGAGGUGGGAGGAUCACACAAGCUCAGGAGUUUGAAACCAGCCUGGGCAACAUAGUGAGGGCUUGUCCCUACAAAAAAUAAUUUUAAAAAUUAGCUGUGUGUGGUGGUGCAUGCUUGUAGUCCUAGCUACUUGGGAGGCUGAGAUUGGAGGAUUGCUUGAGCCCAGGAGAUGGAGGCUGCAGUGAGCUGUGAUUGCACCACUGCAUCCAGCCUGGGUGACGGAGCAAGACCCUGUCUAAAACAAACAAAUCAGAAAGAAAGAAAGAGGCUAUUUCUCCCUUCCUUUUCUAGAAAUCAUUCAAAAGCAACAAGGAAAAUGGGGAAAAAUUCCAUAGACAAUAAUUUUUUGGUGAAACGGGGACACAUAUCAUUUGCAGACUCCAGAAUGCGUGAAAAGGCUGCCAGUGUCACCAUUAGGCAGCACUCACUAGGGAGAAAGAGAAUGCAGAGGGGGUGGAUGUCAGGAAGCUCUAGGAAUAUGUAUACCUCCUGCAGGUGGAGGAUGCAACCUCAGGUGCAAAAGAGAUCUCCUUCCUUUGUAACAACAGCUAUGGGAAUUGGGUGAGCAAGGCUGACAGCAGAAGCCAUCUUAUACCCCGCUCAGGUUCAUACAGCCCGUAGAAGCGGACGUUUUAGCUAUCCAUUGCUGUAUAACAAACCACCCCCAAACUUGGUGAUUUUAAACAUUUAUUUGUUAUUCUCUUUCACAGUUCUGGGAUAUGACAGGUUCAGCUGAUGGCUUUUGCUUGGGGUCCUCAUAUGGUUGCUGAGGAUAAGUCAUCUGCAUCGUGAUCUCAGAGUAGUCAGACUUUUUAUCUGGUAGCUGAUGGCCCCAGAGCAAUUGCUCCACGAGGCUUAAGUCAAAGCUGCAAGGCAUCUUAUGACCUAGUAUGGAAGGCCUACAAUGUCACUUUCAGCACAUUAUAUUUUGUCAAGCAAUUUACUAAGAGUGUCCCAGAUUUGAGGGAUGGGAGAAAUAGACUCCAUCUCUAAAUGGGAAGAGUAGCAAAGAAUUUAUGACCAUCAUUAACUGUCCACAUGGGGCUAUACAAAAAAUCAAAUGGAUGAGCAGUAGUUGUAUGAAGCAGUCUGUGUCUAUGGCUGAUGGUGGUGGAGGGAAGCCAGCUAUCCUAAAAGGAUACCUUGUCCCACCCCACAACAGAGCCUCAUGCAAAUAACUUGCCCACUCAAUAAUGAGUGACACAUAGUAUCAAAUUAAAUCCACUAUAAGGUGAAGGAGGAAAAAAGAGUGUCAAACAUUUCCAACAAUUGAAGAAUACUUACCAGAAAAAAUUGACAUAGAGCAGCUGAAAAAAGCAUUAGGCAAUUGAAUUUUAAAAAGUGAAUGCAGUAAUUGCUUCUAUGAAGGAAGACCACAAAACAGAAAUACAUUAACAGAUUUUUUUUAAAUUACCAUUUUGCAACCCCUAAUAUAGCAAUUGGUUUAGGUAGGGAUCAUCAAUAGAUGUGAAAACCCUUGAGUAAAAGGCAAUUGGGGAAUAAUAUAUUUAUGGUGAUAAAGUAUCACCACAUGGAGUAAUUAUAGAGGGAAGAUAUGUACCUGGAGAAACCUAGCAGUUACCCAUUUUAACCAAGUGGUCAAACUUGGAAUUACUGAUAUCAAGACAGCCUAAACUCAUGUGCCUCCUGAUGGAAUGCAAUAUGAAAUUCACAACAUCAUUACAGGCAAAAUGUUUAAUCUGAAUUUUAUCAAGUCUUUGGACCUAGCUGGCAAUUUAUCAGAAAUACAAAUGCUAGAUAAACAAAUGAAAUAUAAAGAAACAACCUGACAAAUCUAGUCUAUGGGAUAUUUUAUAAAACAACUGGCAUGGAUUCUCUCUUUUUUUUUUCACAUGUAGGGAGGACACAAGUUUUGUGCCCCUUGUCACAAUGACCCCAGAUUCCCGUUUGGUGUAUUGUAAACAGAGGAGCCACUCUUCAACCUCCCUGCCCUAAGCAAACCCUGGCAUAUACUCUUAAAGAAGUAAAUGUCAUAACAAAAGUUGGAGAGCUAGUCUAGAUUAAAAGAGAAUAAAGGCUGGGCGCAGUGGCUCAUGCCUGUAAUCCCAGCACUUUGGGAGGCCGAGGCUGAUGGAUCAUGAGGUCAAGAGAUUGAGACCAUCCUGGCCAACAUAGUGAAACCUCAUAUCUACUAAAAAUACAAAAAUUAGCUGGGCAUUCUGGCAGGCACCUGUAGUCCCAGCUACUUGGGAGGCUGAGGCAGGAGAAUUGCUUGAACCCGGGAGGUGGAGGUUGAAGUAAGCUGAGAUCUCGUCACUGCACUCCAGCCUGGUGACAGAGCAAGACUCCAUCUCAAAAAAAAAAAAAAAAAAAAAAAGAGAAUAAAGAGACACAACAAGCAAAUGCAAUGUAUAAUUGGAUACUGGGUUGGAAUAGUAUUUAAAAACAUUUUUUGAGGUAAUUGGGGAAAUUUGAGUAUAGAUUAUAUAUUAGAUGAUAUUAUAAAGUUAUUGUUAAAUUAGUAUGGUUGCUAUGGUCUGACUGCUUGUGCCCCCCUAAGAUUCAUAUGUUGAAACCUAAUCACCAAUGUGAUGGGAGGUGGGGUUGUUGGGAGGUGAUUAGGUCAUGGGGGCAGAGCUCUCAUGAAUGGGUUUUGUGGCCUUAUAAAAAAGGACCCAUAGAGCUGCCUUGCCCCCUCCACCAUCUAAGGGCACAGCAAGAAGGUACCAUCUGUGAACCAGAAAGUAGGCCUUUGCCAGACACUGAAUCGUGGGUGUCUUGAUUUUGGACUUCCCAGCCUCUGGAACUGUGAGAAAUAAUUUUCUGUUAUUUACAAGCUACCCUGUCUAUGGUAAUUUAUUCUAGCAAUUCAAAUGGUCUAAGAUAGGGGUUAUAUAGUGGAAUGUUUUUAUUUUAGGAGGUGCAGACUAAAGUUUUUGUGGUUGAAGUGUUCUGAUGUCUACAAUCUAUUUAAAAAUGAUUUGGAAAAAUGCAUGUAUGUAUUGUUUGUGAGUAUAGAGACAGUGAAAGCACAUAUAGCAAAAUAAUAAUAAUUGGUGAAUCUAUGUGAAGUAUAUGAUAUAUGACUGCUCAUUGUAUUAUUCUUUCAACAUGUCUGUAGCUCUGCAAGUUUUCAAAAUGAAAAGUUGAAGGGAAAAAGAACAUAGGGAUGAGAUUGUGAGAUAACAGAAUGAGAUGAAGCAUGGGUGGGCAGAACUCAGAUCAAAGUAUCAGAGAAAUAAGGAUGAAAUGGAAGGGGUGCAAAUAAUAGGCAAUUAAAAAAACCACAGCAAGGGACAAAAAUAUAAUUUUCUGAAAUAGAGACAUUAAUUUAUAUUAUGUAUCAGAGAAAAUUAAUGCAGGAGAGCCAACCUAGAGAUGUGUCCUAGUAAAGUUAUUAAACUUCAAAGAUAACUAAGCAAAAUGAUCAAGUCACUGAGGGGCGGGGGAAGCAGGCUUGUUUCCGAGUUCCGUGCAGCAACAUUCAAUGUCAGAAGAAAGUCAUGCAAUACUUAAAAAAGAUGUCCAAGGGAAAAAAAAGUGUUACACAUGGAGUUCAAAUCCAGCCAAAUUAUCCUUCAACCAUAAAGACUACAGAUAUCCUCGAUCAUAAAAUAAUUCAGGGGAUGUUGAUUCUUUGAAUCUUCCUUGAAGAAACAAUCAGAGGAUGGAUGCCAGCCAACAAAGAGAUAACUGAGGACAUUAUAGAAAAAAGACUGGAGGCAACUUUGAAUAUAUGUAAUGUAGACUAAAGCAAAAAUAAUUCCACACUUUAGAGUGAUUGAAAAUAAUGUAAAAAUGACAUGUCCUGACAAUGUAUAAAUACAUGCACUGAACAAAUACUCGUGGAGGAAGGGGGAAAGUAGGUGAGAGGUAGAUUAAGGUAACUGAUUGUUACAUCUGUAAUAAGUGGGAGUCAAAAAAUAUUACUCAAGACUGACAAACCAAGUAAUAGAAGCAUACACAUUUUUAAUAGUACAAAAUGAAACUCAGAGAAAGAGGUUCUCUUUGGUAGGAGAGAGGAGGAAGAGAGGAAGAGGAAAUGUGCUUUUUUUUUUCAUUGUUCCUAGGCACUAAUAGACAUUUCUUGAAUAAUAGAAGACUAGAGGUAUUUUUUAAAAGUUUUAUUAUAAAAGUAACAGAGCAAAAAUGAAAACCUAUUGAAAUUUGAAAAGAAUUAUUCACAGCAACAAAGACAACAGACUACAUAGUGAAUGUUUUUAAAAAACUAUAUAUAAACAAAAAUAGAACAUAAUGUUACUAUGUUAGAACUAACGCUAAUUUAUUUGACAUAUGAAUAGAUGUUGAAAUAGGCUUAACUCACCUAUUAAAAUAAACAAUAUUUCAGAGUAUUCUUAGGCAACACCCACCUUCAUGCUGAGUUCAAGCAAGUGAGCACCUACAAUAGGUGUUUUCAGAAAGGCUGAAAAUAGGCCAGGUGCAGUGGCUCAUGCCUGUAAUCCCAGCACUUUGGGAGGCCGAGGUGAGUGGAUUACUUGAGGUCAGGAGUUUGAGACCAGCCUGGCCAAUAUGGUGAAACCCCAUCUCUACUAAAAAUAAAAAAAUUAUCCAGGCAUGGUGACACAUGCUUGUAAUCCCAGCUACUCAGGAGGCUUCGAAGCAGAAGAAUUGCUUGAACCCGGGAGGCAGAGGUUGCAGUGAGCUGGGAUUGUGCCAUUGCACUCCAGCCUGGGUGACAGAGCGAGACUUCAUCUUAAAAAAAAAAAAAAGGUUGAAAAUAAAAGUACAUACAAAGAUAGGUGAGGCAAAUGCAAAACAAAACAAAAGACAAACAAAAGAAAGCCCAGGUCAUAAUAUUAAUAUCACACUAGAUGGAGAUGAAGAAAGUCACUUUAAGGUGGGGUGCUGUGGCUCAUGCUCGUAAUCCCAGUGCUUUGGAAGGCUGAUGUGAGAGGGUCACUCCAGCCCAGGAGUUCAAGACCCGCCUAGGUAACAUAGACCCUGUCUCUACAAAACAUUAAAAAAAAAAUUAGCCAGGAGUAGUGUUGCAUAACUGUAGUCCCAGCUAUUCAGGAGGCUGAGCUGGGAGGAUCACUUGAGCCAGGGAGGCUGAGGCUGCAGUGAGCAGUGAUAGAGCUACUAUACUAUACUCUAGCCUGGGUGAUACAGCCAGACUCUGCCUCAAAAAAAAAAAAAAAAAAAAAAAAAAAGAAAGAAAGUCACUUUAUAAUACUUAAGGAUGGAAUCCACAAUGAAUACAACAGUUCUGAAUAUCUAUGUACCAAAUAGCAAAGCACAACAUUCAUAAAGCUAAAAUUAUAAGAGAUACAGGGGGUAAAAACAGACAAACAAAUGGUAGGAAACUUUAAUUCACCCAUCACAGUCAAUGAUGGAUCAACUGAAAAAAAAAUAAUUAGGAUAUAGAAAACCUAAAUAUCAUAUUUAGAAAAGCAGAUACAGGUUUACAAUGUCUUUUCCAAAACUCUCUAUAGUUUUUCAAAGUGUGGAAAGCUGAUAUAAUACAUAUACUGAAUAUUAUGUAAUAUCUUAAUUGGGGUUCAUAAUGAAACACAUUGGUAUUUCUGCAGUGAACCAUAUGAUGCGGGAAGCAAAAACCAUAACUAGUCUUACAUCAGUUUAGAACAGAGUUUGCUGUCAAAGGAGUUACAAAAAAAAGUUUAGAAAUCAGAACAUUUUGGAUUUAGGAUAUUUCAGAGUUGGGAAGGUGACUCUGUGUUGGGCUCCACAUAAGGAAAAAUUUCAACCUAGAACUGUCUAAAAAAGAAAUGAAGUCCCUUGGAAGUGCCUGCCACUGGGGCUCAGGUGGGUGGGAGACAUUCAAGCAGAGAUGACCGUUUUUUCAGGCGACUCAAGUACCAAGUAGAGAGUUGGACAAGGAGACUACCAAGUUAUUUUCUCACCUGGGAUUCUAGGGUUAGACUAGCUGGAAAGUGGUGGGUUAGAGAAGGGGGAUGAACAGAAUGGGUUCAUACAAUCCUAUGCGUUGUCUCUUAGGUAUCUGUCAAAAUUAAAGCAAAAUGGUACUGAUCCAGUGUUCCAACAUGUGGUUGGGAAAUGCGUAUACAAGCUACUAACUCAGUGAAGAUAGCAGACAAGUUGCUUUUUACAAGCUCUUAGAGGAUGGAUCCCAUUCCAAAGUAGGCGUAAAAUAUGCUGAAAAGUGGCUGGGCGCGGUGGCUCAUGCCUGUAAUCUCAGAAAUUUGGGAGGCUGAGGAGGGUGGAUCACCUGAGGUCAGGAGUUCGAGACCAGCCUGGUCAACAUAGUGAAACCAUGUCUCUACUAAAAAUACAAAAAUUAGCUGGGUGUGGUGGCACAUGCCUGUAAUCCCAACUACUCGGGAGGCUGAGGCAGAAGAAUCGCUUGAACCUGGGAGGCGGAGGUUGCAGUGAGCUGAGAUUAUGUUAUUGCCCUUCAGCCUGGGCAACAAGAACAAAACCCCGUCUCAAAAAAAAAAAAAAAAAGUCCUGAAAGGUAGGGUAGCAAGUGGGGCUUUGAAGGGACAGCAAGCUUGUCCCCUCGCUUCCUAUGGCUGAAGCAGCAAUAUCACUCAACGAGUACUUCUGAACUCUUUCUGUGCCAUCAAGCACAUUUGUAAAUUUCUGCAUUUGGUGCUGCAUAGCUGGGGGCCACAGCAGGUUUAGGCGGUCAGUGAAUACUGACAAUAGAGAGCUUGGCCCAUUUCUGAGAGCUGAUAGGUCAGGUGGAUGCUGGCGAGAAAAGGCAGUGGCAAGUGGAGGGCAUUAGGCCUUUGUUGGGCCAUAAUUGGCUGAUUUGAUGAUUAUGAGCGAGGACUGGGGAAUGGGGAAGGUCAUUGCUGCUGGCUGCCGCUACCUGCCACGUGUCAGUGACGUCUUCUGGGUGCAUGGGUUUCCUGACCCUUGUUGGGUUGCUUUACUGCUUUUUAAAACUUCCAAAGGACUCACCCUGCCUUCUUGGGAACAACUAUCAGUGUUUGAUGACUUUUGCUGAGGGAGCUCUUUCAAUUAUCUUCCUGGAAUCACGCCAGUUGUGAUUACUGCCACACUCUCUAUGGUUCCACCACUCAGCCUGGAAAAUGGUGAGGCUGGUGGAGUGGAGGUCAGCUACCCUCUGAAGCACUUCUUUCCCCCUUGCAACUUUAAGCAAACAUUCCAUGGCCAGAAGGGAGCAAAGUCUGUGGGAGGGCAGAGAGCAGCAGGACUCACCCGGUCAGAAGUCCUUUAAAACAUUGAUUUCUCUUCAGCUUGAACAAAACAACAUGAGUUGCAUUAUGGAGGAGGCAGAAAAUGAAGAUAAGCACAAAAAAGAAAACAAAAAUCUCACCACGCAGAGAUAAGUGCUAUUCAUGGUUUAGUCUGACUGUUUCCAACUGGGUUCCUAGAUGUCCUGGGGUUCUAUGGAGGUGCUUCUAAGACGCCUUAAAUACUUAGAAUUUAACCAAAGAAUGGCCGGGUGCAGUGGCUCAUGCCUGUAAUCUCAGCACUUUGGGAGGCCGAAGCAGGUGGAUCACCUGAGGCCAGAAGUUCAAGACCAGCCUAGCCAACAUGGUGAAACUCCAUCUCUACUGUAAAUACAAAAAAAAAAAAAAAAAAAAAUAGGCCAGGCGCGGUGGCUCAUGCCUGUAAUCCCAGCACUUUGGGAGGCCGAGGCAGGUGGAUCACGAAAUCAGGAAAUCGAGACCAUCCUGGCUAACAUGGUGAAACCCCAUCUCUACCAAAAAAAAAAAAAAAAAAAAGCCGGGCCUAGUGGCCGGUGCCUGCAGUCCCAGCUACUCAGGAGGCUGAGGCAGGAGAAUGGCAUGAACCCGGGAGGCGGAGGUUGCAGUGAGCCGAGAUUGCGCCACUGCACUCCAGCCUGCGUGAUAGAGUGAGACUCCAUUAAAAAAAAAAAAUUAAUCAAAGUAGAAAAUAAAAAAAAAUUAAUCAAAGUAGAAAAUAAACAAAACAAUAUUUUGUUUAUUGACAUAAAAAUGGCAAUAAACAAAAAAAAACAGCAACCUUGGGGCAAACAGCAGUCUCAUGGAGACCACCAGCAUGUGAUCGUGUGUGUCUCUGCCAGCCUCAGCCCAGCUCCUCCUGCUGUCCCUGGGUGGUUAUUUGCACUUGUCAUGAAUGUGCCUUGGUUGGAAGGCUGGAGCCCUGCAGACCCACACGUCUAUCAGAGGGCUCAGGGCCUUACCUUCUGUAUGUUCACCUCAUGAGGAAAUCGUGGGGUGUGUAAGAAGUGAAUUUGUAACACAUCGUGGUGUGAUUCCAUUGUAUUAUGGAUCACUUUAGCACCUGUCUUUUAUUUUUAUUAUUGAGGUAUGGUAAAUACCUCUUAAUAGAAAUACAUUUCAAUAAGUGGCAGGAUACAGAAUGCUGAGUACUAACCUUCCCCACCCCAAGCCCACAAUAUCCUGUAACCUGUGGCCCCUCAGCUACCUGGCUGGGAAGUUCCCUCAUGCCUUUAGAGGAGGAUUUCAGAAAUGUGGAGAGAAAGAAGCAUGAGGAUACUCAGCUUUCUCAUUGAAACUGAAAACAGAGGAAAGUAUUGAUGGCUUUCAAGACCAGAAUCUAGGCGAGGUGUGGUGGCUCAUGCCUGCAAUCCCAGCACUUUGGGAGGCCAAGGCAGGAGGACUGCUUGAGAUCAGGAGUUUGAAAUUAGCCCGGGCAACAUAAGGAGACCCCAUCUUUACAAAACAAUGAAGAAUUAGCUGGGCUUGGUGGCGUGUGCCUAUUGUUCCAGCUACUUGGGAGGCUGAGGCAGGAGGAUCCCUUGAGCCCAGGAGGUAGGGGCUGCAGUGAGCCAUGAUGGCACCACUACACUCCAUCCUUGGCAACAGAGUGAGACUCUGUCUCAAAACAACAACAACAACAACAACAAAAACAAAGACCAGAAUCUAAACAGUUGUCUAAAUAGCAAAAGAAGAGCUGGGUUGGGGAAGGGAAGAGAAUCAGAGGGAAAGCUGGAGAGAAACAAAGUUCCUGCACCCUGACCCACUAUCCCACCCAAGGUCACAAUCCUGGGUUGGAGACAGUCACCAGAAUAAAUGUGGGGACUCUGAGGCCAGAGAAGACCUGUGCUCCUUCCCAAGCAUGGCCUGGGGAAGUUGGCUGAGAUCCUGGAGUACCCUGUCUGGUCAGCUGUCAUUGUGUCUGACGACUGCUGGAUGGAGCACUGAGGCAGAGAGGCCACAAGUUGGCAAAGUCCUCCUCCUUGAGACUCCCGUGGCUCAAUGGGUACAGGGAGCCAAAGGCCCAUGGGACGUGACCAACUCAGCAUUCCACUGAGUCUAUAUGAUCAAACAGCAAACUGUUUAUCAUGAAUACAGAAUGUGGGCAAACUCACGACCGUGCCUGCCCCAGAAGGUUUGCUGAGGGCAAUCACUUCCUGGCGCCAAGCUCCUUGAGGUUAUCUACUGGGACAUCUAGAGAAUGCAGUCUUGCGGGACUACUCUGGACGAGCAGCUGACCCCUUCUUCCACCCCCCUUCUCACUAUGUCUUUUGCCUAAUAAAUACGGAGGGCUGUGUAAAGGUCAGGGCCCUUGUCCACUAGAGGCAAGGUGCCCCCUGACCCCUUCUUCCAAAUAUACGCUUUUGUCUUUUAUUCCUGCAUUCGCCCGCUUUGUUCAGUCUCCCUAGGUCCAUGUGGGUUACAUAGUGGCGCCGCAGAACAGGGACUUCAAGGACGUAAACGAAGAAGGUCUGCUGGAGCAGAGGAACUGAAAUUGAGAAGGUGAACGGGGACCCCAGGCCGAGUCUGCCGACAGGGAUAUAAGGUCGGUGCCCUAAAGAGGUACCGGGAGCAGUGCUUUAAAGAAGUACUGGGAAUGGGAAGUUUUCUGAAUCAGGGUAACAUGAGGCAGAAUUUGUCUGUUGGAGAAAAACAUUAUGUGCAGUUGCUUAAAGUUUUGUUGAAACAAACUGGUGCUCAGGUCAGUUCUCAGACAUUAAGAUGCUGCCGGAGGUUAUUACGCAUAACCCAUGGUUUCCACAGGCAGGCACUCUUGAUGUGGAAAAUUGGGAUAGAGCAGAAGGAUUAAAACAGGCUCAUCAAAAAGGUUUUAAAGUUGAUUCUUCAGUUUUUUCCACUCAGAGUUCAGUUUGUACUUCUGCCAUUAUCUCACUAUUCUGCGGGGUAGCAGGCUGAAUCUAAAAAUCUGAAAGAAUCUGUUGUCCCACCCACAGAUCCAAUUGAAAAUCAAAGACAGGAGAGGGAGAAUAAAAAUUGGCCUAUACCACCUCCUCCAGUUGCAGAAACAUCUGUACUGCCUCCUUUGGUGGCAAAAAUAGAGAGCCCCCAAUACAGAGAAUUUAUGCUCUGCUGUCAUAGCCGGAGAGCCCUUAGGACCUUGCGCUUUUCCUAUUUCCGUAACGCCUGAUCCAAAUAAUCUGCAGCAGGUUAUCCACGAACACACUCCACUAGAGUUUAAGUUGUUAAAGGAAUUAAAAGCGAGUGUGGUAAAUAAUGUCAUACAGAGCCCAUUCACUUUAGGAUUGCUAGAAUCAGUGUUUGGUGCCAUACAUCUUUUACCCUUUGAUGUGAAACACUUGGCGCGAACUUGCUUGUCUGCGAGUGCAUAUCUGAUGUGUAAUUUCAAUUGGCAAGAAAUGUGUGCAGAGCAGGCUAGACAGAACUGUGCUGCUGGAAACGGAGACAUUACAGAGGAUAUGCUAUUGGGUAAUGGCCCUUAUUCAGACCUGGAACGUCAAAUGGCACUCCCAGACGCUGCUUAUCAGCAGUGAGCAUAGGCCACUAAAUGCACUUGGGCCACAAUUCCUGAAGAGGGAGUCCCAGUACAAUCCUUUUUACAUAUCAUGCACGGGUCAUAGGAACCCUAUGCACAGUUUCUUGCAAGAUUACGAGACGCAGUGAAGCAUCAGAUUCCUCAUACCAUGGCUGCAGAAAUGCUAACCUUAACUCUAGCUUUUGAGAAUGCAAACGCAGAUUGUAAAAGUGCACUGGCACCUGUGAGAUGUACAAAAAACUUGGGAAAUUUUCUCAGAGCUUGUCAAGUUGCAGGAACUGAGCUUCAUCGCUCUUCAAUGUUAGCUGAAGCAAUGGCUAAUUUAGUAGCUGACAAAUCUAAAAGGAGCCAAGGGUCAAACUCUAAAAUGGGAAAAUGUUAUAAUUGUGGAAAAACUGGACAUUUAAAAAAGGAAUGCCACCAGAUCUCAGGACAGAAAGGAUCUUACAAUGCAGUUCCUCCACCAGCGGAAAAAACGCCAGGACUUUGUCCUCGCUGUAACAAAGGAAAUCACUGGGCUAAUCACUGCCGCUCAAAAUUUCAUCGGAAUGGCACCCCCCUGUCGGGAAAUGAGAUGGGGGCCUGGACUUGGGUCCCACAAACAGUGAGGGCAUUCCCAGUCCAGACCUUAACCCCGUUUUAGGCAUGGGUUCCCGGAGGCGCAUUGAUUCCCUCACCCCAGGAACACCAGGAAGUGCAGGAUUAGAUCUACCUGCCAGAGAAAGAAUCACAUUAGUCGGGGGAGACAAACCCAUCAAAGUUCCCACUGGUAUUUGGGGACCUUCACCAGCAGGAUACAUGGGACUAAUUUUAGGCAAAAGCUGCCUUAACUUGCAAGGCAUGACUGUAGUCCCAGGAGCUGUUGACUCUGAUUAUGAAGGAGAAACUCAAGUAGUUUUAAUGUCACAAGAUCUUUGGGUUUUUGAACUGGGAGAAUAUAUUGCUCAAUUAUUGCUUAUUCCCUGCAAAUUACACCCUUCUCCAUGAAAGGAGAAACGAGGAAAUAAAGGGUUUGGGAGCACAACUACAUGGGAAAUCUAUCUAUCCCGACCCAUAGCCUCUAAUAGACCCACCUGUGUAGUACAAAUUAAAGGAAAGAAAUUUUAUGGGCUUAUGGAUACAGGAACUGAUGUAUCAGUAAUAUCUAAAGACAAUUGGCCCCCAUCCUGGCUCUUGCAAUUAACUUCUACAUCCCUAGUGGAAGUAGGAACAGCUCAAAGUGUUCAACAGAGUGCUGAGAUUUUACCUUGUCUUGGUCCGGAUGGGCAGUCAUGUACUUUUCAGCCUUAUGUUGCAAAUAUAGCUAUCAGUUUAUGGGGCUGAGACUUACUUACAGCAUGGGAGAUGAGACUUACAAAUGAAAACUUUGAUAACCCAGGAUUUAAAAUGUUGAAGGACAUGGAUAUCAGAGUGAAAAAGGUUUAGGGAAAUUCCUACAGGAAAAUCCUAACCUGAUAUCAGUAACUGGAAAAACAGAUAGAAAAAGGCUAGGAAAUCAGGAUUUCUGACAGAGGUCAUUGAUAUUUCUCCCCUGCCCACUGCCUUACCAUUAGAAUGGCUUAGUGACAAACCUGUGCGGGUGGAUCAAUGGCCCCUAACACAGGAGAAGCUAGAUACCUCUGGUGCUUCAGCGCAAUGCUCAGAGCUAAUUGCAGUCAUUCAGGUUUUACAGCUCACAGCUUCAGAUCCUAUCAACAUUGUCUGUAAUUCAGCUUAUGUUGUAAACGUAGCCAGUCACAUUCAUAUGGAAACUGCUACAGUUAAAAGUACACUAGACCCAGAACUGCUUAAUUUGUUUCACUUAUUCUCAAAUGCUGCCAUGCUACAUGCCAAACAGGUGAGACAGCUGGUCAUGUACAGUGACAUUGUCUGUCAUCAUUUGCUCAUAUGGGGAUACUUAAACAAUUAAAAACUGACAAUGGACUCGCUUAUACUAGUCAUGCUUUUCAAAAUUUCUUACAGCUUUGGGCUAUAACCCAUAAAACAGGAAUUCCUUAUAAUCCUAAAGGACAAGGCAUUAUAGAGCAGGCACAUUGAGCAUUACAACACAUGUUGAAAAGACAAAAAGGGGGUAUAGGAGGCCAACUACCACCUCAAUCAAAACUACAUUUAGCCUUAUUUACUUUACAUUUUUGGACUCCUUGUACAGAUGGUAAGACUCCAGCAGAAAGACAUUGGCAAGUGUUAGAGGAAAAGAGGAAAGUUUAUCUGAAAGCAUUAUGGAAAUCCCUGGAAGGACAAUGGAAAGGUCGGAUGGAUUUACUGACGUGGAGAAGAGGGUAUGCUUGUGUUUUCACAGGAGAUGGACAAGCCGUGUGGGUGCCCUCAAGGUGUGUGCAACCAUGGAAUGGGAGACUGGAGGAACCCAGGGUGGCCAACCAUGGGUCCGGUCCCUCUGGUGUGAGCCAUGAGCCAGCUGAGCCUGAGUGCAAAGACGGAGAGAAGGCCGACCACAGUCAUGACAUCAACCCCCAUAACCUGGGGACAACUCAAAAAACCACACAGGAAGCUAAGAAACUACUGGAGCACCAGGGACAGUCUGUAAAAUUGGAUGGACCACCAAUGGGAAAAUGAGAGCUGCCCACCCUGGCCUUACACUCCUUCAAUUAAUACAUAAACAGAAAGGAGGAUAUACAGAGAGCCAAAGGCCCAUGGGACGUGACCAACAUUCCACUGAGUCUAUAUGAUCAAACAGCAAACUGUUUAUCAUGAAUACAGAAUGUGGGCAAACUCAUGACUGUGCCUGCCCCAGAAGGUUUGCUGAGGGCAAUCGCUUCCUGACGCCAAGCUCCUUGAGGUUAUCUGCUGGGACAUCCAGAGAAUGCAGUCUUGCAAGCUUACUCUGGACCGAGCAGCUGACCCCCUCUUCCACUUCCCUUCACACUAUCUCUUUUGCCUAAUAAAUACGGAGGGCUGUGUACAAGGUCAGGUCCCUUGUCCACUAGAGGCAAGGUGCUUCCUGACCCUUCUUCCAAAUAUA